rnacentral:rRNA from 1 species
CUUUCAACAACGGAUCUCUUGGUUCUGGCAUCGAUGAAGAACGCAGCGAAAUGCGAUAAGUAAUGUGAAUUGCAGAAUUCAGGGAAUCAUCGAAUCUUUGAACGCACAUUGCGCCCCUCGGUAUUCCGGGGGGCAUGCCUGUUCGAGCGUCA